UACGGGGGGGGCAAGCGUUGUUCGGAAUUACUGGGCGUAAAGGGCUCGUAGGCGGCCAACUAAGUCAGACGUGAAAUCCCCAGGCUCAACCUGGGAACUGCGUCUGAUACUGGAUGGCUUGAAUUCGGGAAAGGGAUGCAGAAUUCCAGGUGUAGCGGUGAAAUGCGUAGAUAUCUGGAGGAAUACCGGUGGCGAAGGCGGCAUCCUGGACCGACAUUGACGCUGAGGAGCGAAAGCGUGGGGAGCGAUCCGA
rnacentral:rRNA from 1 species